CAUAGCUACUACUGCAGUGCUGUAGACACACGCACGUUUGAAUGAGAAGUUUGGUGAAGCAAUGCCUACCUUUGCCGUGUGAGACACACUGCGAUACUCUCUAUUUCGUUCUGUUCUGUGUCAAGUUCAAAUUCCGCUUGUGGUCUGCUCAAUUGAUUUCAUGACCUGAAAAAUAAUUCCAACCCACAGCUUAAGCAGCACUGGCCCAGUGACCUUCAGCAUUCCCUCCAUCCCGGAGAGUCUGUGACUCCAACGGUAGAAUUUAAGGCAUCAUGAAUGAGAACGUAAUAGUGUCACAGCGAUGGUGCAUCUAACGGGACUUGGCUUCACGGCCUUGAAAAAAAAUCAAACAACAUCGCCAUUCUAUCUUCAGGUUUUCGGAGAAUCUUACCCCAAGUUGGCCUUUUUAAGGUUUGGCCCAGUUUGCGGGGAAGGGCAAGUGAAAGCUCUUCAAACACGCCGGUGUGUAUGAGUGAUUUUAAGCCUCUGUUUCAUGGAAGUCAAUGUCGGGGAUCACUGGAGCGCUCUGGAGCGAGCCUGGAGAGGGCAGCUCGUCUCGAGUGCCUGUCCGAGGGUUCCUGGGCCUCUCCUCUGUGCCCUUGCUGCCAACAGCAGCUCUUUUCCUCCUCAGCAGAGGCAUUUCGUAGUGCCCUGCUUAUCUGUGGAGCUUGACCAAGAGGACACCCAGGCCGGCCUAUGUCACGGGGGCUGGUAGCGGCCAGGGCCAUGCGGCCCAUUUGCAAUCGUCUCGCUGUUUCAAGCCCAGCCCAAGUCUGCGGCCCUCUCCACCUCAAAGACUGUAGGAUUCUAUUUUAAACACUGAGUUCUACGUUCUCUAAAAUUGACUCUCCCUUCCCGGCUCACCAUCUGUCAUUCGCCUGGGAUCUGAACUGUAAAGCCAAGUAGAGGAGAAGAUGGUAAUAGCUCUUCCUUAGCUGCGAGUUGGAAUCAAAUCCUCGACCCCUGUCCUCAGUCGGACAUCACCUCUCGGCCAAGUUCUCGAGAGAGAGAGACAGAGAGAGAGAGAGACAGAAGAUCCCAAGCAGACUCCAUGCUGUCAGCGCAGAGCCCGGCGUGGGGGCCGAUCUCACAAGCUGUGACAUCAUGACCUGGACCGAAAUCAAGAGUGGCCUGAGCCACAUCAACAAUUUUUAAAACUAUUGUGAGUAAAAUACGCGUCACAUGAAAUUUGCCAUCUCAACCAUUUUGAAGUGUACGGGUCAGUGGCAUUAAACGCAUUCACGUUGUUGUGAAACCAUCACUGCCAUCCAUCUCCAGAAAUGUCCGGAAGAAGACACCCAAUGUCUUGUGGGUGUCUUGUCUCGAUACCCAUCAGCCGACAACUCCCCACUCCUCCUCCCCCAGCCCCUGGCACCCACCAUUCUGCUUUCUGUCGCCAGGACUCUGACUACUCUAGGUACCCCAUACAAGUGCAAUCGUACAGUAUCUGUCUUUUUGUGACUGCCUUAUUUCACUUAGCAUCAUGUUCUCAAGGUUCAUUCAUGUGGCAUGUGUCAGAACAUUUCCUGCCUUCGUAAGGCUGGACAAUACUCCAUUGUACGUGCAGACUACGUUUUGCUUAUCAGUUCAUCCACCGAAGGAUACUGGGUUGCUUCCACGUGUUGGUUAUUGUGAAUCAUGCUGCCUUGAGCACGGGUACGCAAAUAUCUCGAGUCCCUGCUUUCCAUUCUUUGGGGUAUAUGCCCAGGAGUGGAUGAGCAAUUGUAGAUCACUUUUCCUUUGAGGUGAGCAAUGGUUGUUUGUGGGUGGCUCCUGAGAAUUAUAUCACCUAUUGUUUUUAAAGGUUAUUUAUUUUGAGAGAGAGAGAGAGAGAGAGAAAGUAGGGGAGGGGCAGAGAGAGAGAGAAUCCCAAGUAGGCUCCGCACUGUCAGUGGAGAGCCUGACUUGGGGCUUGAACUCAUGAAGAAUCGUGAGAUCAUGACCUGAGCUGAAGUCAGACACUUAACUGACUGACGCCCCUGAAUUCUGUCACCUAUUAAGGUGUGCGGCCAUUGUCUGUUCACAUGGGUCUCUCCCCGCUGGACUGUAGGUUCCUGGUGGCCAGGGAACCAUGUUCAACAUUCCCACACCCUGAUGCCAUGGAGGGCCCACAGUCUGCCCUCUGAAAGGCUUAUGAAUGGAACAAAUCUGGUCAGGGCUGUUGCUGAGGGCGUGGUGCUGAGCCCUCCUGCCCCGGCUCGCGUGUAUUUUUAUACAUGGGGUUUUUCUGAUUUUGUUUGAAAGGGAAAAACUGUCCCUAAAAUAAUAACAAUAAUAAUAAUAAUAAUAAAACGAAUAUAAUCCAGUUCCCUGUGGGAAAACUGGAAACCCACUGAGGGCUGGUGAUCUGCCAGGCAUCCUGGCGUAGUUGGUGGGCCAGCCAGGAUCCGAACCCAUGGUCCCCGUUCUCUAAUUGGCCUUGCUGCCACACGGCCUUCUCCACAAAAGGCGAUUGUCCUCUGUCGUUUCCCCCCUUGCUCUCUGCCUGUCUCCUCCCUCAGAAGACAGGGCAGACCCCUCCCCAGAGCCAGCCCGGCUCUGGGUCGGGGCCCUGCCAGGUCGGGCAGCCCAGCAUGGAGUCGGUGGGGCUGCCGUAAGCAGGGGAGUGUGCUUCCUUUCCCACAAGCUUUAAUGGAGUGAGGGGGGACUCAGCCCCCGGGCCCCUCCAGGCAACCCCAGCGCAGGGUAGCUCAGCUGAUCUCCAGAUGGCCCAGCAAGAGGAAAACUUGAUGAAGGUCUUCAUUCUCUGAGGCCUUUCCUUCCCUGAGGAGAGGGUUCUCUUCCUGGGAAACCGUAGACGAGGCCGCGUGUGAGAGACGGAGGUCCAAGUUGGGGGGGGGGGGCGUGUAAAUGCGUGUGUGAGAAAACCCAAGGCACGGGGCAAGGGUGGGGUAGAGAUGGAGGCAGCAGAGAGAAGUGAUGGAAAGAAACAACCUUCCUCAGAGAGUUUUGGGAGCUAAGUGUCCUGAAGAGAACUUGGAACUGUACCUGGCACGGUAAGUGCUAUGUGGACGUUGUUGAUUAUUGCAGAGGUGGAGAGUGUGGUGGACGAGAGAGAGGAAGGGAAGUGGGGGGGGGGGGGGUGGUGCGGGCAGGAGCUGAUCCCGGAAGCCCCAGAGAUGCAAGGAAAGGUGGAAUCUGGGCGGGACUCCCUUGUCUGGCUCUUCUCCCAUAAAGCUGACUCUGUUCCUCUUCCUCCCUCAUUGUAUUUUUAAAUCUAAAUAGCGCGGCCUCCAUUGUGCGAAGGAACACGAUUUUCUGGAUUCCCUGAAGCGCCUCAGCACACUGUGCGUUGAGAGUCUGCCUGGCAACAGCCAUCUAGGUCCCAGGGAUGGUGACGGAGGGGCCUGGUGGCCACAUACCGCCUCAGCCCUAAUAGUAAAGAUUCCGCGGUGCGCCUGAGCCUUCGUGCCUGCCCUCCUACCCCUGUAAACCCUCCGGGUCUCCUCCCAUCUUUGGCCGGAGGUAACUCCUUCCCAGAUUGUGUCGGAUUGAGGGUGAAGCCCACACAGCCCGGGGCUCCCUGGGCGGAGAUGGGUCCUGGCCCUUCCAGGCCUUGACGACGCUGUGCGGCUGGAGCUCUGUCCCCCACCUGUGCCUUGAGGCCCUGCCCCACUUUGUGAUGGCUCUGAAAGGUCAAGGGCGGGACACGGGUCUACACUGAUUUUCAAUCUGGGCCAUCACAGGGGGCCUUUUUGGGUCAACGUUUAAAAAAUGUGAUCUCCUCUCUCCGUGGAGGCUGAGAAGCGUCCCAAGGAGGGUUUCUACCCCAGCGGGGCCGGCUCCUGCGCUGGCGGCCUGGAAAACACUGCUGUCCCCGGCAUCGUCCUGGUGCCCGGAGCUGGUGGUGGCUGCACGAACAGAACCUCGGCCCCAAGCAAAGGGCAGAUCACCAGGCCCAGUGACCGUCUGCGUCAGCCCCAUACCCUCUCAGUGCUGCGGGAGAUCAUUCAGAAGCUUUCGGGCCUCUCAGCCCUGUGAUGCGAGAGGGCAGGACAUCUUCAAAUGUAUGGCUGAGGACAUCAAGGUCCAGAGAAAAGAGUGAUGGGCAGAAGCCAGGGCUAGAAGCCAAUGGCCUGAUUUCUGGUCCUGGGCCAUUUCUACAAUUCAGUUCUGCCCCCCCCCCC